GAUGAACGCUGGCGGCGUGCCUAAUACAUGCAAGUCGAGCGAACAGAUGAGGAGCUUGCUCCUCUGACGUUAGCGGCGGACGGGUGAGUAACACGUGGAUAACCUACCUAUAAGACUGGGAUAACUUCGGGAAACCGGAGCUUAUACCAGAUAAUAUAUUGAACCGCAUGGUUCAAUAGUGAAAGACGGUUUUGCUGUCACUUCUAGAUGGAUCCGCGCCGCAUUAGCUAGUUGGUAAGGUAACGGCUUACCAAGGCAACGAUGCGUAGCCGACCUGAGAGGGUGAUCGGCCACACUGGAACGGAGACACGGUCCAGACUCCUACGGGAGGCAGCAGUAGGGAAUCUUCCGCAAUGGGCGAAAGCCUGACGGAGCAACGCCGCGUGAGUGAUGAAGGUCUUCGGAUCGUAAAACUCUGUUAUUAGGGAAGAACAAAUGUGUAAGUAACUAGGCACGUCUUGACGGUACCUAAUCAGAAAGCCACGGCUAAAUACGGGC
rnacentral:rRNA from 1 species